CAGCCGCCGCGGGAAUACGGAGGGUGCGAGCGUUAAUCGGAAUUACUGGGCGUAAAGCGUACGCAGGCGGUUUGUUAAGUCAGAUGUGAAAUCCCCGAGCUUAACUCGGGAACUGCAUUUGAAACUGGCAAGCUAGAGUCUUGUAGAGGGGGGUAGAAUUCCAGGUGUAGCGGUGAAAUGCGUAGAGAUCUGGAGGAAUACCGGUGGCGAAGGCGGCCCCCUGGACAAAGACUGACGCUCAGGUGCGAAAGCGUGGGGAGCAAACAGGAUUAGAUACCCAGUAGUCCCUGUCUCUUAUACA
rnacentral:rRNA from 1 species